rnacentral:rRNA from 1 species
AGAGUUUGAUCAUGGCUCAGAUUGAACGCUGGCGGCGUGCCUAACACAUGCAAGUCGAGCGGUAACAGGUGUAGCAAUACAUGCUGACGAGCGGCGAACGGGUGAGUAAUGCUUCGGAAUCUACCCUAUAGUGGGGAAUAACUAGCCGAAAGGUUAGCUAAUACCGCAUAAGCCUACGGGAGAAAGCAGGGGAUCGCAAG